rnacentral:lncRNA from 1 species
UGGCAUCAGUUCUAACAGCAGCUAAAAUUCAGAUUUUGUCUCUACUUUUGAAGAAGAUAAAUGGAAUGUCUCCAUAGAAUUGCAAGUUCAGCACUGACUGACACAGAUUCUUCACUUUGUUUGAAUUCCUCCAACAAGAGCUGAAGGAAGCAUAUGCUGCAGUUUUGGUGAACAGCGGUCCCUUGAGCAAAAUUUUCAGGCUAUGGAAUUUAGGCACCUGGGUACCUGGCUGCGCUUGCUGAAUGCACUUUGAAGGUACAGAGAAGAGGUGGAAACCAAAUACAGAAUCCCAUCUGUAAACUCUCAUCUCAUAGAAAUCAAAGGGAGUUGUGCAGCUGACUUCAUUUGACUCCGUGUUCCGGUACCUGGCUUCUAACUGCAAGAUCCUGCUGUCAAUUUUACUAAAACAAAACAAAAUGCACCACACACAUAAAGCAAAAGAAAUGACACCCAAACCCAUGUAUGAUUAAACAAGAAUAUUAGCAUACCCAUUUCUUGGCAUUGUCAAUAGGCUUUGAUAUAUUAAUGUGUAAUUGCCUAUAGAAACAUGAGCAGAUCAAAGAGAAAGGAUGAAAUGUGGGGGAUAAGUUCUCUGUUAUGAGAAGAAAGGCACA